UACGUAGGGGGCGAGCGUUGUCCGGAUUUAUUGGGCGUAAAGAGCUCGUAGGCGGUUCGGUAAGUCAGAUGUGAAAACUCCAGGCUUAACUUGGAGACGCCAUCUGAUACUGCCGUGACUAGAGUCCGGUAGGGGAUCACGGAAUUCCUGGUGUAGCGGCGAAAUGCGCAGAUAUCAGGAGGAACACCAGCGGCGAAGGCGGUGCUCUGGGCCGGUACUGACGCUGAGGAGCGAAAGCGUGGGGAGCGAACAGG
rnacentral:rRNA from 1 species